GGAAAGAGAAUUGUCAGCCGACGUAAACAUCUAGUUGGAGACCCCAGGAAGAUAAUUGUAGUAUUGUAUACUUUUAUUAUUUACGUAUUGAGCCGAUGAAAUACGCGUAUAAUACAAAAAGAAUACGACGGCCGACGGAACAUCACUCACGCUUUACCUUUGAGUAUGUACCUACAAUCCGCGUGGUACGAUCUCGGCACUUCAAUCGCGUACAAUCGAAGAAGCAUUUAGCAACUCAAGAAUAAUGAAGAAACUGUGCGAGUAGAUCACCUGACGACAAAAAUGAGACUAACGUGGUACACAAGCCAACCGCGUAGCGAUUGCACAAAAAUUGCACGAGAUAAGAAAACAUGUUUGUUUGUAAACACUUGUACUUGUACUAUGCUGAAACUAUUAAUUUCGAUUAAAUUUUAAUAAUUUAAAUAAUUUAA